rnacentral:rRNA from 1 species
AUUGAACGCUGGCGGCAGGCCUAACACAUGCAAGUCGAGCGAGCGGCGGACGGGUGAGUAAUGUCUGGGAAACUGCCUGAUGGAGGGGGAGAACUACUGGAAACGGUAGCUACUACCGCAUAACAUCAGAUGUGCCCAGAUGGGAUGAGCUAGUAGGUGGGGUAAUGGCUCACCUAGGCGACGAUCCCUAGCUGGUCUGAGAGGAUGCCCAGCCACACUGGAACUGGUACACGGUCCAGCCUCCUACGGCAGGCAGCAGUGGGGAAUAUUGGACAAUGGGCGCAAGCCUGAUGCAGCCAUGCCGCGUGUGUGAAGAGGGCCUUAGGGUUUUAAAGCACUUUCAGCGGGGAGGCGUUACCCGCAGAAGAAGCAACGGCUAACUCCGUGCCAGCAGCCGCGGUAAUAC